AGUGAACGCUGGCGGCAGGCCUAACACAUGCAAGUCGAGCGGCAGCGCGGGGGCAACCCUGGCGGCGAGCGGCGAACGGGUGAGUAAUACAUGGGAAUCUGCCUGGUAGUGGGGGAUAACUCUGGGAAACUAGAGGUAAUACCGCAUACGUCCUACGGGAGAAAGGGGGGGAUCUUCGGACCUCUCGCUAUCAGAGGAGCCCAUGUCCGAUUAGCUAGUUGGUGAGGUAAAGGCUCACCAAGGCGACGAUCGGUAACUGGUCUGAGAGGAUGAUCAGUCACACUAGGAACUGAGACACGGUCCAGA
rnacentral:rRNA from 1 species